rnacentral:rRNA from 1 species
CGCCUCUUGCUAAAACAUAAGAGGUCCAGCCUGCCCAGUGACAUAGUUUAACGGCCGCGGAACCCUGACCGCGCGAAGGUAGCAUAAUAACUUGCUCUUUAAAUGGGGGCUAGUAUCAAAGGCAUCACGAGGGUUGAACUGUCUCCUCACUCCAAUCAAUGAACCUGAUCUCUUCGUGAAAAAGCGAAGAUAUUUAUAUAAGACGAGAAGACCCCAUGGAGCUUUAAACUCAAUAUACACCCAUAAGGGUAGACACAACCUCAAACCCCUUGGACCUGUAUGAUAGUUUUAGGUUGGGGCGACCAUGGAGAAAAACAAAACCUCCACGACAAACGGAUUAAAACCCUAAUACAAGAGAGAUGUCUCUAAUAAUCAACACAUUGAUGUAACUUGACCCGAAUACUCGAUCAACAGACCAAGUUACCCUGGGGAUAACAGCGCAAUCUAUUUAGAGAGCCCGUAUCGACAAAUAGGUUUACGACCUCGAUGUUGGAUCAGGGUAUCCCGGUGGUGCAGCCGCUACCAACGGUUCGUUUGUUCAACGAUUAAAACCCU